rnacentral:lncRNA from 1 species
GGCCUAUCCUUUCCUUCAGCUCAUCAUGGACCUACCUAUGCCAAAAGCCCGCCUUCUCUCUGUAGAAUCUGAAGGGCCCAUUACUGCUCCCAUCCCAGAGUCACAUUCUUACUGCCCACUAUCCAGGAGCUUCACCCUGCUCUGCAAGGAAAUACCUUCCCGACCCGAGCCUCGGUUUCUUCAGUAGACUCGGGGCAUGAUGGCGCUUACUUCACACACCUGCAAUAGCUCCAUGACAGACUCCAAAUAAAUCGGUUACUUCGUGUUCUCUGUUGUUCCUGUGGCACAGAAAACCUCAUAACUCUUCACUUUUUAGCUGAGGAGUGAAAGAAUCCACAAGUGUCUCACAACUAUGAAAGAUGGUUGCUCUGAAGACAAGACAUGGAGAACUUUCUGCCUGUCCGAAGCAGAACGGAGGUUUGCAAAGAUGGUCUCCUAGAACCUGCAGUUCACUGGCCCGCUAGUCUGACAGAACAGAAAUUCUCCUGUUUCUGCUUCUCCCCAGUGGCUUAAUAAGGGCACCUCUCUGCCCAA